AUCGAAUUCCGUUAGUCUAACGCCCAUUGGCCAUCGACACGAAGCUAACGAAACGCAACACAAAACAAAAAUCCUUCCCUAGUCUGACGGCCCUUGGCCGGCCAUCCACACGAAGCUAACGAAACGCAACACAAAACAAAAUCCCAAUCCACCCACGGGUCCCGUCUGGCGUCGAUCACCCUCUCCUCCGACUCGCCCAGCCGCCCCUGUCGCUCUCGUGCUCUCCUCCCGCUUCACCGCAAAACCCUAGCUCCGCUACAUGCACCGGGGCGACGACCGUUCCGGCGGUCCCUCGGGCGGCGGCGACCGCUCCGGUGGCCGGUUCCAGCGGGGUCCUUCCCGCUGGUCGGGCGGCGGUGGCGGAGGAGCGGGUAGUCCGCCCCAUCGUUACUCCUCGCGCAGCGGGGGAGAUGGCAGUGGUCGAGGAGGCAGUGGCGGUGGCGGGAGGUUUCACCCGUACCGUGGCUCUUCCGAUUUUUCUGGUGGCGGCGGUGUAGGCGGGGGUGGAGGGUACAGAGGCGGCGGUGGGGACGAUUUCGGCGAGCAGAGGCAACGCUACGGUGGCGGCAACCGUGGUGGAGGCCGUGGGGAUUUCCAAGAUCAUGAUAGCAGAAGUAAUUACGUCAAACUUUUUGUUGGGUCUGUUCCAAGGACAGCAACUGAAGAAGAUGUCCGUCCUUUAUUUGAGGAGCAUGGAGAUGUUCUUGAAGUUGCUUUAAUCAAGGAUAGGAAGACCGGUGAACAACAAGGUUGUUGUUUUGUUAAAUAUGCUUCUUCUGAGGAGGCGGAAAGAGCCAUCAGGGGUCUGCACAACCAGUACACUUUGCCUGGAGCAAUGGGCCCUGUUCAAGUUAGAUAUGCUGAUGGUGAAAGGGAGCGACAUGGGGCCAUUGAGCACAAAUUAUUUGUCGCGUCCCUCAAUAAGCAAGCAACUCCAAAGGAGAUUGAAGAGAUCUUUGCCCCAUAUGGUCAUGUGGAAGAUGUUUACAUUAUGAGAGAUGGCAUGAGGCAGAGCCGAGGUUGCGGCUUUGUCAAAUUCUCAUCAAAAGAGCCAGCAGUGGCAGCUAUGAAUGCACUUAAUGGGACUUACAUAAUGAGGGGGUGCGAGCAACCAUUAGUCAUUAGAUUUGCUGAUCCUAAGAGGCCAAGACCUGGAGAAUCGAGGAGUGGCCCUGCAUUCGGGGGUCCUGGUUUCAGUCCUCGAUCGGAUGCAGCCCUUGUUAUCAGGCCUACAGCAAAUCUUGAGGAACCAAGGGGUCGCCAUAUGCCUCCUGAUUCUUGGCGUCCAUCAAGUCCAAGGUCAAUGGCACCAAAUCAAUACAAUAAUUUUGGAUCUGACAAUCCCUUGAUGCUAAGUGGUGGCGCUGUAACAUCAGCAGAUACUGCUGCUUUUCGACCUCCGAUGCUCCACGGAAAUGGUUCCUUAUCAACUCAGACAGCUGCACCAACUUCAUCGCAUAUGGGCAUGAACCCUCCAAUGGUACAAGGGCAUCACCUUGGAGGCCAACAGAUCCCAACCAUGCAAAAGCCACCUGGUCCACCACAGAAUUUCCCUGUAGAAUUGCAGAAUGCUCAGCAAGGACAACCUCUGCAGGGGCAUAUUCCACAGAUUGCGCAGCUUCAGGUUCCACAAUCCACGGGAGCUGUUUCAUUUGGCCAGAAUAUGCCAUCUAUGCAAUUGCCUGGCCAACCUCCAGCAUCACAGCCAUUGAUUCAACAGAAUGCUUCUCUAGGUGCUUUACAGGCUGCUUCAUCUGUACAGUCCAAUCCCAUGCAAGCUGUUCCUGGUCAGCAGCAAUUUCCCACCAGUGUUGCUCACCAAAUGCUCCAGCAGUCGAUGCAGCAGAUGCCUUCACAAGCACCACAGUUGCUGCUUCAACAGCAGGCAGCUUUGCAGUCUAGUUAUCAGUCUUCGCAGCAGGCGAUUUAUCAGUUGCAGCAACAGCUGCAACUAAUGCAGCAGCAAACUAACCUAAAUCAGCAAGCCCCAGCACAGGUUGCUAAACAGCAGUCUGGACAGCCAGUGCAAUCCAGCACCCCUGGUGCUCCAGGUGCCAUUAUUCCGACAAAUAUUAAUGCAAUUCCACAGCAGGUUGGUUCACCUGCAGUUUCUUUAACCUGCAACUGGACAGAGCAUACCUCCCCUGAAGGUUUUAAGUACUACUACAAUAGCGUUACUCGUGAGAGUAAGUGGGAGAAGCCUGAAGAGUAUGUGCUUUAUGAGCAGCAGCAACAGCAGAAACUGCUUUUGCUUCAACAGCACCAACAAAAUAUUGCUGCACAGCAACUGCAAUCACCACCACAGGGUCAGUCACUUCCAUCCAUGCAACCAAUUCAACAACUUCCCCAGGCACAAGGACAAGCACAAAUGCAGAUGAAACAACAGGACGCAGGAUGCAAAAGAGGACAAGGAUGUAUCAGUUGUAUAAAUUGAGCUAUCAGCUCUGUAUUUAGAAGCCUUUCUGGUUAAAUUAGGAUAGAAUCUGAAGAUGCCAGAUUGUCUUUUGGCCUUCGUUUUUCAUUUUGGUGCAGUAUGUUCUAUAAUAAAUUUUACAAUGUCUGAAAUUGUGGAGCUCAAAACUUCUAUGCAGGAAUUAAAUUACUCUCAGUUACAGGCAGCUGGUUCCAUUGAUCCCAGCAGGAUUCAGAAGGACAUUCAAGCUGCACAAGAACGUGCUUGGAAAAGUUAGUGCUGCAGGUCAUGACGACAAAAAGUGCUAGUCAAGACUGGGAAUUGAGCUCAGCCCCUGUGCCGUUCGUCUGUAACAGCGGCUGUUUAUCCUGCACAGCCAGGCGCCCAUCCCGAUAUGCGUAACUCUGGAUUUAUAUUAGACUGAUAUGUAGAUGGUAGAUCCUGUAUGCGUACAUUGUUGCGACCUAGGCGAUGUAUCCCUUGUUAGCCAUUCAUGUUCUCCGGCGGGUUAUCCCCACGCGACGGAGGGUCUUUUCCUGGGUCCCUUUCAUCUCUGUUCUCUC